GGGUUGUGAGGUUAAGCGACUAAGCGUACACGGUGGAUGCCCUGGCAGUCAGAGGCGAUGAAGGACGUGCUAAUCUGCGAAAAGCGUCGGUAAGGUGAUAUGAACCGUUAUAACCGGCGAUGUCCGAAUGGGGAAACCCAGUGCAAUUCGUUGCACUAUCGUUAACUGAAUACAUAGGUUAACGAGGCGAACCGGGGGAACUGAAACAUCUAAGUACCCCGAGGAAAAGAAAUCAACCGAGAUUCCCCCAGUAGCGGCGAGCGAACGGGGAGCAGCCCAGAGUCUGAAUCAGCUUGUGUGUUAGUGGAACGGUCUGGAAAGUCCGACGGUACAGGGUGAUAGUCCCGUACACCAAAAUGCACAGGUUGUGAACUCGAAGAGUAGGGCGGGACACGUGGUAUCCUGUCUGAAUAUGGGGGGACCAUCCUCCAAGGCUAAAUACUCCUGACUGACCGAUAGUGAACCAGUACCGUGAGGGAAAGGCGAAAAGAACCCCGGCGAGGGGAGUGAAAAAGAACCUGAAACCGUGUACGUACAAGCAGUGGGAGCACCUUCGGGUGUGACUGCGUACCUUUUGUAUAAUGGGUCAGCGACUUAUAUUCUGUAGCAAGGUUAACCGUAUAGGGGAGCCGCAGGGAAACCGAGUCUUAACUGGGCGUUAAGUUGCAGGGUAUAGACCCGAAACCCGGUGAUCUAGCCAUGGGCAGGUUGAAGGUUGGGUAACACUAACUGGAGGACCGAACCGACUAAUGUUGAAAAAUUAGCGGAUGACUUGUGGCUGGGGGUGAAAGGCCAAUCAAACCGGGAGAUAGCUGGUUCUCCCCGAAAGCUAUUUAGGUAGCGCCUCGUGAAUUCAUCUUCGGGGGUAGAGCACUGUUUCGGCUAGGGGGUCAUCCCGACUUACCAACCCGAUGCAAACUACGAAUACCGAAGAAUGUUAUCACGGGAGACACACGGCGGGUGCUAACGUCCGUCGUGAAGAGGGAAACAACCCAGACCGCCAGCUAAGGUCCCAAAGUCAUGGUUAAGUGGGAAACGAUGUGGGAAGGCACAGACAGCCAGGAUGUUGGCUUAGAAGCAGCCAUCAUUUAAAGAAAGCGUAAUAGCUCACUGGUCGAGUCGGCCUGCGCGGAAGAUGUAACGGGGCUAAACCAUGCACCGAAGCUGCGGCAGCGACACUAUGUGUUGUUGGGUAGGGGAGCGUUCUGUAAGCCUGCGAAGGUGUGCUGUGAGGCAUGCUGGAGGUAUCAGAAGUGCGAAUGCUGACAUAAGUAACGAUAAAGCGGGUGAAAAGCCCGCUCGCCGGAAGACCAAGGGUUCCUGUCCAACGUUAAUCGGGGCAGGGUGAGUCGACCCCUAAGGCGAGGCCGAAAGGCGUAGUCGAUGGGAAACAGGUUAAUAUUCCUGUACUUGGUGUUACUGCGAAGGGGGGACGGAGAAGGCUAUGUUAGCCGGGCGACGGUUGUCCCGGUUUAAGCAUGUAGGCUGGUUGUCCAGGCAAAUCCGGAUAAUCAAGGCUGAGGUGUGAUGACGAGGCACUACGGUGCUGAAGUAACAAAUGCCCUGCUUCCAGGAAAAGCCUCUAAGCAUCAGGUAACAUUAAAUCGUACCCCAAACCGACACAGGUGGUCAGGUAGAGAAUACCAAGGCGCUUGAGAGAACUCGGGUGAAGGAACUAGGCAAAAUGGUGCCGUAACUUCGGGAGAAGGCACGCUGGUGUGUAGGUGAAGCCCCUGCGGGUGGAGCUGAGACCAGUCGAAGAUACCAGCUGGCUGCAACUGUUUAUUAAAAACACAGCACUGUGCAAACACGAAAGUGGACGUAUACGGUGUGACGCCUGCCCGGUGCCGGAAGGUUAAUUGAUGGGGUUAUCCGUAAGGAGAAGCUCUUGAUCGAAGCCCCGGUAAACGGCGGCCGUAACUAUAACGGUCCUAAGGUAGCGAAAUUCCUUGUCGGGUAAGUUCCGACCUGCACGAAUGGCGUAAUGAUGGCCAGGCUGUCUCCACCCGAGACUCAGUGAAAUUGAACUCGCUGUGAAGAUGCAGUGUACCCGCGGCAAGACGGAAAGACCCCGUGAACCUUUACUAUAGCUUGACACUGAACAUUGAGCCUUGAUGUGUAGGAUAGGUGGGAGGCUUUGAAGCGUGGACGCCAGUCUGCGUGGAGCCAACCUUGAAAUACCACCCUUUAAUGUUUGAUGUUCUAACGUUGGCCCCUGACCGGGGUUGCGGACAGUGUCUGGUGGGUAGUUUGACUGGGGCGGUCUCCUCCCAAAGCGUAACGGAGGAGCACGAAGGUUAGCUAAUCCUGGUCGGACAUCAGGAGGUUAGUGCAAUGGCAUAAGCUAGCUUGACUGCGAGCGUGACGGCGCGAGCAGGUGCGAAAGCAGGUCAUAGUGAUCCGGUGGUUCUGAAUGGAAGGGCCAUCGCUCAACGGAUAAAAGGUACUCCGGGGAUAACAGGCUGAUACCGCCCAAGAGUUCAUAUCGACGGCGGUGUUUGGCACCUCGAUGUCGGCUCAUCACAUCCUGGGGCUGAAGUAGGUCCCAAGGGUAUGGCUGUUCGCCAUUUAAAGUGGUACGCGAGCUGGGUUUAGAACGUCGUGAGACAGUUCGGUCCCUAUCUGCCGUGGGCGCUGGAGAAUUGAGGGGGGCUGCUCCUAGUACGAGAGGACCGGAGUGGACGCAUCACUGGUGUUCGGGUUGUCAUGCCAAUGGCACUGCCCGGUAGCUAAAUGCGGAAGAGAUAAGUGCUGAAAGCAUCUAAGCACGAAACUUGCCCCGAGAUGAGUUCUCCCUGAGACUUUAAGUCUCCUGAAGGAACGUUGAAGACGACGACGUUGAUAGGCCGGGUGUGUAAGCGCAGCGAUGCGUUGAGCUAACCGGUACUAAUGAACCGUGAGGCUUAACCUUACAACGCCGAAG
rnacentral:rRNA from 1 species